rnacentral:tRNA from 1 species
GUUUAAAUAGCUUAAAUUUAAAGUUUAUUAUUGAAGAUAAUAUGAUGAUUAUUAUUAAUCUUUAGACA